rnacentral:lncRNA from 1 species
UUGAGACCAUAACCCACACGUUUUUAGAUGGGAGGCCGAUGGUACAAGAACAGCAUUUGCGUUUGUUUCAUUUGUCGUGGCCCGCUAAUUACUGAGCUUCCAAAAUUUAAGUUUAAUUUGCCUUUUGUAUAUUUGCAAAAAAAAAAAAAUAGUCUUCCCAGAAUUUCGUAAGUUUUUUUAAAUCAAAAUUACGAAAUUAUUGCUAGUAUUCCAAAAAUGACAUUAGAACCAAAUGUACAGUCAUAUAUAAAGGUUAUCCCAAAUCAUUGCUAGUAUUUCGUUCAUCUUAAAACUACCC